GGAAGGAUCAUUAACACGUAUCCAAACGUAAAACCCCCCCGUGAACAUUCAUAUGCCGCUGCUCUCCGUAUCUAGACGUGAUAUUUCGUCGAGCAAAGUGGACCACCUCUCUUCCUGAGACAUGGACUAAGCCGAUUUUACGAAGGAUCACGGGAUUGCGGAUUAAGAUGCGCGAACACAACAGUAGGCUUGGUUGCCCCUAUGGCUGACGUCUGACAGGGGCGAAGGUGAUAGUGGGAUAUCUGACUUCCCGACCGAUGAAAAAUGCUUGGCUGGAAAGGACGCAAACAACCGGUGGGGUGGGUGAACUGGUACCAAACCCCCGGAAGUCAGAUAACUGCACGUUAGUAACGAGGAGCUGCACUGGUAUCUCAUUUUGACUCAGUGGACCUCCGAGGAGCGAGCGGCGCAUAGGCCCUCCUGGCGACACGCCGGGAUUCUUGGGACAAGCCUCGGGUUAAAUUCCCCUUUUUACCAUUCGUGAAUCAUGGAUGGCUCGAACUACCAAACCUAAAAUUCGGGGGAGCUGAUGAAAGUCGUUCCCCACAAAAAACCGAACAACUGUUAACAAUGGAUAUCUCGGUUCUCGCAACGAUGAAGAACGCAGCGAAAUGCGAUACGUAAUGCGAAUUGCAGAAUUCAGUGAAUCAUCGAAUCUUUGAACGCAAAUUGCGCUCUCGGGUUACCCCCAAGAGCACACCUCUCUGAGUGUCGGUUAAACCACAUGUCACCAAUUUAUUGGUGUACGACUAGUCUGAGGGUAAGAGGCCUUGGCUUCAUUUCCCUUUAAAUCGGCGUUCGGUCACAAGUUGGCGUGUAGUUAGUGGCAAGUUGUUUUCGGUUAAACACCCCGAAUCCGAUCCACCGACCCCGAAGCAUGUGUGCCAGCCUACAACAAGAAACAGCAGAAAGAGUAUCUUUUGGGGCGAAUGGGGAGAGAUUGGUUUGAACUCUUGAAUGUUUGGGGGGGUAAAAUGUAGCAAUCAUAUUUAAGCACGGAUUUUGUUGACCUUUGAACGAGCGCUGGUGUCGAUCGAUUGAGAUAGCUAAGCGGCCGGCGAACUACCCUACCGUUAGGUCGUGGGUGGACUCUGCCCCGCGAAGGUGGUGUCUCGAAAGGCAUUAAAAGCUUGAUUGGGUUGGGAACGUUUGGACUUGGUAUGCUUGCUGGGUUUUGCCUUUUUGAGCUUAGUAUGGAGAACGAACCGAAAUUGAAACCGGUGCUCUGUUACACUUUCGAACUUAUGAAUUAGACCUCAGAUGAAGUGGGAAAACCCCCUGAAUUUAAGCAUAUUAUUAAGGGGAGGAAAAGAAACUAACAAGGAUUCCCCUAGUAACGGCGAGUGAAGCGGGAAAAGCUCAAAUUUAAAAUCCGCUGGUCUAACAGCUUGCGGAGUUGUAAUCCAGAGUGGCUCUCUCAGUGUAAGCCUGGUUAUAAGUCCCUUGAAACGGGGCAUCAUAGAGGGUGAGAAUCCCGUCUUUGAGCCGGAGCUACGCACGUACGAGGAGUUUACUAAGAGUCGCGUUGCUUGGGAGUGCAGCGCUAAUUGGGUGGUAAAGUUCAUCUAAAGCUAAAUACUGGCGAGAGACCGAUAGCGAACAAGUACCGUGAGGGAAAGAUGAAAAGAACUUUGAAAAGAGAGUUAAAAAGUACUUGAAAUUGUUAACAGGGAAGGGGAGAAAACCAGUCAUUUUUCCGUUCCAUUCGCUUCUCCUUCGGGAUGAGUUACUUGGGAUAGAAAAGGGUGGACGUCAUUUGGGUGUCUUCGCAGAAAGUGCGCAGGUUGGUGCGUUUCUUCGGAUUCGUUUAGCCUGUGCGCCCUACGUUGAUCCUGGAUGAGGAGUGAUAGCCCGCGCCCUCUCGGGGGCAGAGCACUUUGAGGCCUGUUUGCCCUAGCGCGUGAGAGAACAAAGUUCUGUCUGUGCGAAAGGUGAAUACUGCUUUGGAUGUGUUACUUGCUGGGCUCGCGAUGUCUACGAAAUGGUUCUCUUCCACCCGUCUUGAAACACGGACCAAGGAGUCUAACAUAUAUGCGAGUAUUUGGGUGCUAAACCCUGAUGCGCAAUGAAAGUAAAGAGCCGCAAGGCUUGAGGUAGGAAUCUUACCUUCGGGUGGGAGGCACUAUCGACCGAUCGUUCGCUUGCGAAAGAUUUGAGUAAUAGCAUAUAUGUUGGGACCCGAAAGAUGGUGAUCUAUGCCUGAACAGGGUGAAGCCAGGGGAAACUCUGGUGGAAGCUCGUAGCGAUACUGACGUGCAAAUCGUUCGUCUGAUUUGGGUAUAGGGGCGAAAGACUAAUCGAACCAUCUAGUAGCUGGUUCCCUC
rnacentral:misc_RNA from 1 species